AUUGUCCGUGGUAGAAUCGUCUA
rnacentral:siRNA from 1 species